UACGUAGGUGGCGAGCGUUGUCCGGAUUUACUGGGCGUAAAGGGCGUGCAGGCGGUUUGUUAAGUGCAGGGUGAAAGCUCCCGGCUCAACUGGGAGAGGUCCUUGCAUACUGGCGAACUCGAGGGAGGCAGAGGAAAGUGGAAUUCCCGGUGUAGUGGUGAUAUGCGUAGAUAUCCGGAGGAAUACCAGUGGCGAAGGCGGCUUUCUGGUCUGAUUCUGACGCUGAGGAGCGAAAGCCAGGGGAGCGAACGGG
rnacentral:rRNA from 1 species